rnacentral:rRNA from 1 species
CRCCGYCGUCGYCGCCGCCGCCGAAAAAUGCAGAAACGAAAUAACCUCUCCUCCCACAUCCUCCUCUUGCUCUUUUUUAUAUAUAACCGCCGCCCUCGGCUCGGACGAGACGACCCGCUGAACUUAAGCAUAUCGCUAAGCGGAGGAAAAGAAACCAACCGGGAUUCCCUUAGUAACGGCGAGUGAACCGGGAGAAGCCCAACGCCGAAUCCCGUCGCAAGUAAAAGGCUUCGGGACAUGUGGCGCAUGGUUCGAAGAUGGUCGUUCGUUUUCGUCUCGCGUGGAGUUCCCUCGAUCGGGGCCGCCCGUGGCGGGUGCCAGGCCCAUUCGGUGCGGACGGCGAGCGACGGUCUUCGAUCCGAGAGUCGGGUUGCUUGGUAACGCAGCCCAAAUCGGGUGGUAAGCUCCAUCCAAGGCUAAAUACCGGGACGAGUCCGAUAGUCGACAAGUACCGUGAGGGAAAGUUGAAAAGAACUUUGGAGAGAGAGUUCAAGAGAACGUGAAACCGUCCAGGGGUAAACGGGUGGGACCGCUCACCGCGAUCGCGGGGGGACUCAGUCCGGUGCUUCCUAGGCUCGAGCCCAAACUCGAUUCACAAUCACAGGCCGCUGCGGACAUCGUCGUGUUCGUGAGGGUGGGCGGGGGUUCGCGCCUCCGAUUCCUCCUUGCGGGCCAGCUUUUGCACCCGCGUCGCCGACGAAGGAGACGGGCCGCGUAGAUAGCGGGWAGGGAAACGUGGUGACGACGACGUCGACGUGGCGCCUCGCGGCGUCACGAAACCGCCGCCGCCGCCACUGCUUCUUCUUUCCUCUCGCUCCCUGUGCGCGCGUCGCCGCCUAAUUCCGUCCCCUUCUCGCCGCUCGGCAAUCAAUGUCGCGGGUGCUUCGGCGCGACGUAACAAACGACCGCACGGUCGGCACCGGACGCACUUCCCCUCCGGUCCGUCGUCGCGACCCGUUCCCGGCGUGCAGGUCGACACGCGGGUUUUUCCGUAGGCGGCAGGCGCUUCAGAAAACUCCUGCACACGUCCCCCCUUCGGGGGUGGGUUCGUGCAAGAGCCACCAGCCGUCGGGCCCGCGAACGUAACUGCCCCUUUCUGCCGGGGACGGAGGAAAUCUGACACGAUCCCUUACACGUGGCGAGCCGGUUCGUCCUUUAAUCCCGUCAGACGUCUCGUGCGGGGGGGGAGAUUUCGUAUCCCCCCCCCCCUUCGGCGCCCCACCGUCUCGGGCGUGCGCGAGAGAAGAGACGGGAGAGAACUGGCGCGGCCUCGCCGUCAGGCACCUCGCCGGUGUGCAGGUUUCUAGUGGUGUCGGGGGUUAACCCUGCCCACGCCCGCGCAGUCCGGUGUGGUCGCUCGGCGACGUCCUUCGCGGCCGCCCGCCACUUCGGGUCAGCGACGUGCAUCGGCAACCCACCCGACCCGUCUUGAAACACGGACCGAGAAGUCCUGGCCGUUCGCGAGUCGUAGGGGCCCCCUCUGACUAACCCUGAAGGCGUAGCGAAAGCGAGAGAGCGUGUUGGAGGGCGCCGACCGGGAGAGGUGUCGUGGCAAAGUCGUCCGGGGGUCGUCGGGGGGUUAGCAGCGGUUUCGGCCGCGUCGCUUCUUCCUUGCUUCACCCGCCUCCUAGCCGUGCCCGAUCCCGCCGGUGCGGUGUUCUGCCGCCGUGCGUUUUAAAUUUUUUUUAUUACUCUGUGUCCCUCCUUCUGUCCGUCGUCCGCUGCCGUGCGUGUUUGCGUGUGGCGGCGCGCCUUUCGUCGGGCGUGGGGGCGCGAGAGCGUGCGGUUGUUUCCCUCCUCCCCGAGAGGGGACCGGACUAGGGAAUUGUGGGGCACCAGCUUUCUAUCCUCCUUCCGCCCAUCGGUGAGAUCCCGCGGCUUGAACUAGUCCUAUUUUGUCGUCGAGUUUAGGCACUGCACGCGGGCGCAUCACCCCCGGGUCGGUGGUUUAAACCUUUCCGAGUACGACUCGGCCGACUCUGGUGUAGCGAACGGCCAGGGACCCGAAAGAUGGCGAUCCACGCCCGGUCGGGAUGAAGCCAGAGGAAACUCUGGUGGAAGUCCGAAGCGCCUCUGACGUGCAAAUCGAUCGUCGGAACCGGGUGUAGGGGCGAAAGACCAAUCGAGCCGUCUAGUAGCUGGUUCCCUCCGAAGUUUCCCUCAGGAUAGCUGGCGCUCGAUCUUCGCAAUUCCAUCCGGUAAAGCGAACGAUUGGAGGCCCCGGGGCCGUUCACGGCCUCGACCUACUCUCGAACUCUGAACGGGUGGAACGGGUCGACUCUCCCGAACAACGGAGCCGACCCACAUUUUCAUUUUGUCGCCCUUGACAAAAAACGAAAACGAAUGCGAGUGCCAAGUGGGCCACUUUUGGUAAGCAGAACUGGCGCUGUGGGAUGAACCAAACGUCCGGCUAAGGUGCCUAACGCGACGCCCAUGAGAUCCCCGAAAGGGUGUCGGUCGAUAUAGACAGCAGGACGGUGGCCACGGAAGUCGGAAUCCG